rnacentral:rRNA from 1 species
AUGAUUAGUGGCGGACGGGUGAGUAACAUUUAGGAAUCUACCUAGUAGUGGGGGAGUAGCUCGGGGAAACUCGAAUUAAUACCGCAUACGACCUACGGGUGAAAGGGGGCGCAAGCUCUUGCUAUUAGAUGAGCCUAAAUCAGAUUAGCUAGUUGGUGGGGUAAAGGCCCGCCAAGGCGACGAUCUGUAACUGGUCUGAGAGGAUGAUCAGUCACACCGGAACUGAGACACGGUCCGG